CCUACGGGGGGCUGCAGUGGGGAAUAUUGGGCAAUGGGCGCAAGCCUGACCCAGCAACGCCGCGUGAAGGAAGAAGGCCCUCGGGUUGUAAACUUCUUUUGUCAGGGACGAAGAAAGUGACGGUACCUGACGAAUAAGCCACGGCUAACUACGUGCCAGCAGCCGCGGUAAUACGUAGGUGGCAAGCGUUAUCCGGAUUUACUGGGUGUAAAGGGCGUGUAGGCGGGACUGCAAGUCAGAUGUGAAAUUCCAGGGCUCAACCCUGGAACUGCAUUUGAAACUGUAGUUCUUGAGUGAUGGAGAGGCAGGCGGAAUUCCGUGUGUAGCGGUGAAAUGCGUAGAUAUACGGAGGAACACCAGUGGCGAAGGCGGCCUGCUGGACAUUAACUGACGCUGAGGCGCGAAAGCGUGGGGAGCAAACAGGAUUAGAUACCCCA
rnacentral:rRNA from 1 species